AAGUUUUUCGCUAAGGGAUCAGUCUAUGUCCCAUCAGCUUGUUGGUGAGGUAAUGGCUCACCAAGGCUAUGACGGAUAUCUGGUUUGAGAGGAUGAUCAGACACACUGGAACUGAGACACGGUCCAGACUCCUACGGGAGGCAGCAGUGAGGAAUAUUGCACAAUGGAGGAAACUCUGAUGCAGCAACGCCGCGUGGAGGAUGACGCAUUUCGGUGUGUAAACUCCUUUUAUUAGGGAAGAUAAUGACGGUACCUAAUGAAUAAGCACCGGCUAACUCCGUGCCAGCAGCCGCGGUAAUACGGAGGGUGCAAGCGUUACUCGGAAUCACUGGGCGUAAAGGGUGCGUAGGCUGGCUUUUAAGUCAGAUGUGAAAUCCAAUGGCUCAACCAUUGAACUGCAUUUGAAACUGAAAGCCUAGAGUUCAGAAGGGGCAGAUGGAAUUAGUGGUGUAGGGGUAAAAUCCGUAGAUAUCACUAGGAAUAUCAAAAGCGAAGGCGAUCUGCUGGGAUGAUACUGAC
rnacentral:rRNA from 1 species